UAAGGAAUAUUGGUAAUCUGGGAAACCGGGAACCAGCAACGCCGCGUGUGCGAUGAAGGCCUUCGGGUUGUAAAGCACUUUUUGAGGGGAUGAGGAAGGACAGUACCCUCAGAAUAAGCCUCGGCUAACUACGUGCCAGCAGCCGCGGUAACACGUAGGAGGCGAGCGUUAUUCGGCUUUACUGGGCGUAAAGCGCGUGCAGGCGGCUCGAUAAGUUGGAUGUGAAAGCUCCCGGCUUAACUGGGAGAGGUCGUUCAAUACUGUCGGACUAGAGGAUGAGAGAGGGAGGUGGAAUUCCGCGUGUAGUGGUGGAAUGCGUAGAUAUUCGGAGGAACACCAGUUGCGAAAGCGGCCUCCUGGAUCAUAUCUGACGCUCAGGCGCGAAAGCUGGGGUAGCAAACG
rnacentral:rRNA from 1 species